rnacentral:rRNA from 1 species
GAUGAACGCUGGCGGCGUGCCUAAUACAUGCAAGUCGAGCGAACAGACGAGGAGCUUGCUCCUCUUACGUUAGCGGCGGACGGGUGAGUAACACGUGGAUAACCUACCUAUAAGACUGGGAUAACUUCGGGAAACCUGAGCUAAUACCGGAUAAUAUAUUGAACCGCAUGGUUCAAUAGUGAAAGACGGUUUUGCUGUCACUUAUAGAUGGAUCCGCGCCGCAUUAGCUAGUUGGUAAGGUAACGGCUUACCAAGGCAACGAUGCGUAGCCGACCUGAGAGGGUGAUCGGCCACACUGGAACUGAGACACGGUCCAGACUCCUACGGGAGGCAGCAGUAGGGAAUCUUCCGCAAUGGGCGAAAGCUUGACGGAGCAACGCCGCGUGAGUGAUGAAGGUCUUCGGAUCGUAAAACUCUGUUAUUAGGGAAGAACAAAAGUGUAAGUAACUAUGCACGUCUUGACGGUACCUAAUCAGAAAGCCACGGCUAACUACGUG